AUGAAGUUCAAGCCCAAGCAGACGCGGACCUACCACCGAGAGGGCUCCAAGAAGCGGGCGGCGGGCCUGUGCUUCCGCAGCGAGCGGGAGGACCAGGUGCUGCGGGUGCCCAGACCAGGGGACAGUCCCAGGAGGAGGAAUGGAGCCUGAGAAGGAGCCUGGCGGUGCUGCCGUCAGGGAAGUUUAUGAGGAGGCUAGAGUCAGAGGAAAACUAGGCAGACUUCUGGGCGUAUUCGAGCAGCACCAAGACCGAAAGCACAGAACACAUGUUUAUGUUCUAACAGUCACUGACAUAUUAGAAGAUUGGGAAGAUUCCGCUAAUAUAGGAAGGAAGAGAGAGUGGUUCAAAGUAGAAGAUGCAAUCCAAGUUCUCCAGUGUCAUAAACCUGUGCAUGCAGAGUAUCUGGAAAAGCUAAAGCGGGGUUGUUCCCCAGACGAUGGAAAUUCCACUGUCCCUUCCCUUCCAGAUAAUAAUGCCUUGUUUGUCACCUCGGCACAGACCUCUGGGUUGCCAUCUAGUGUAAGAUAGAACUGGGAAGGCCUCUCCCACCACGUGCAGUCUCUUAGGGAGAGGCUUCUUUCAUUUCCUCGUCAAGCAUCUGAAUGACGCUUGCAAACUGUCUGAAUUUGCCAUGCAAGGUUUUCAAACAAUUUGCAUGCUUUUCAGAUGCUUUCAAAUCUUUUAAAAAAAAUAGUGUAAAAUAUUUUAAUAAGCCAAAGCCAUGUGGAAUUUUUUUUAGAUGCCUUAACUGUGCCACACCCCACAACCCCCUAUAUUAUUUCGGUUGUCUAUUUCUCAGAGCAUAUUUUCAGGUUUUUGCCCAUUUGACAUCAGUCUGUGGUUUGUUUUGUCAUCAGAUUACUUGUGGGUAUACUUCCCCCAAAAUUGUUUUCUCAUUCACAGCGUUAGCAUAUUCAGCAAAUCCAUCUGUCCUGACAAUGAAAAACACUAUUGGUAUUAAAGAAAUCCAUUCACCCCAAAACUUGUUUUAUAGGAUUACAAUUUUAAUUCAAAUUUUCCAGAUUUGGUCUACUUCUUUAUGAUCCAAUAAUUAUUUUGUCAAAGGGCUUAAUUUGCCAUUUUCAGGGAUUUGUCGACUUCAUUUGUCUGAAUUUUCACAACUGAUAUUAUGUCACUAGCUAUCUGAUAUGGCUACUUCCCUUAUAACUCAAUAGUACCUUAACACAAAGUAUAACUCUAUAGAGUUGGUGAAUAUUUUAGGGAAAUAUUAGCAAAAUGCAUGUAGUAAAGACAUCAUGAAAAUUGUAUUCAUGGAAUUUGAUUUAGCAUGCUCAGUUGCCAGUUCCCAUUAUUGAUACUCUCUUUUUACACAGAGUAUCUUAGAACCAUAUUUCAUUCAAUGUUAAUUGCUCUUAAAAUGUAUUCUCAGUUAUUUAAUCUAGUGGCCCACCAUAGGAGUGGAGUCUUGCAAUGUAACUUUAAAUGCCAAUCAAUGAUGAUUGUAUCACUGUUGAGUAAAAUGGCCUUCCUGUCCAGCUGUUAGAGACUGAAGAUUGUUAGGGCACCUUAGAAUGUUUCAUCUUUUCUAGGUUGUCAACAGGUACUAUUUGUCACAUAACUUCGAGGCACUACAACAUAUCUGAACUAAGAAUUAAAUCUUUUACUUUAUGCUCACUUAAAAUCAGGAAUCCCAUCUAAAACACAGGUAGGUACCUUACCUGAAACUCUGCACUUCCCCAACCAGGGAAGAAAUGAGGUGGGAGAAGCUUGACGAAGAUGAGGGGUGGGGGAGAGUAAAAGAUCAUUUUUUAUAUAGAAUUCAGUCCUUUGUAAAUAUUGUAACUGAAUAUAGAGUAGAAAAAAGUAUAGUUAAAAUAUUUGUUGUACAAAUUAACCUUUAGAAAUAUAAUUACUGCUAAAAAUAGAGCACUGCUACACUUCAGGAAAAUUGAUGCUGUUCUGAAAAUGAGAUCUUGUGCCAUAAAUCAGCUAAGCUAAAUAUGUGUUCACAAAUUAAUACUUUCAAAGGAAUGAGUAAAGCAGAAAAACUUUUAACCAGCGACAUUUCAUUCUAAAGUACGUAGUGUGAUCAAACAUGAUCAUCCAGAAUUUUUAUAUUUUUUCUUUGUGUAGAGGUUACAUAUUCUGGGUGUUCUUUUAUAAAGGAAAUAUUUUAAAUCCCACAAAUUGACACUUUCUAUCUUCAAUGGACUAAGAUUUUUUUGGUCAGUAAUCUCUGAAAUUUCCUUAAAUUGUAUACUUAACAUAGUAGAGAAACUGGAUUGUUUUUGUUUAUAAGACUGCUUCCACCUGAAAUGCUGUCAUAAGUAAUGGAGGGUGGGGGCAUGCAUAUCUUGUACAUGAUAUUCUUAGAGGUAAUAAGGUAAUAAUGCAUGAACUUAUUUUAUAAACUCUUGGACUAUGUAUUUGACAUGUAAAAUAUGUACAGUAUUAAUGUCAGCCAUCUCUUUAGAGUUAGCCUAUAAAUAUUGUUGUAUAAUU